CUCCAAGUGCUAUAAAGAAUUCCAAAAGCAACAAGAGCAAGCAAUAGAAGCAUCAACUUCCUCCAUAGCUCGCCCCUCUUUGAAUGAUGAAACUAUUGCUGGUUCAACUGAUCAGACUGCCUCAAACCGCCGAACGAAUCGGUGCAACAGCUGCAACAAGCGGCUAGGAUUGAUGGGGUUCAACUGCCGCUGUGGAAAUGCAUUUUGCAGGUCGCAUCGACACCCUGAAGACCACGCAUGUACUGUUGAUUUCAAGGGGCUUGGCCAUGAGCUUUUGAUCAAACAAAAUCCACUUUGUAAGGCUGACAAAUUGGAGGAUAGGAUCUAGUUUGCACGACAGGAUAUAGAUGAAAGGAUAAUUUACAGUUUAGUACAUGAUAUUUAGCAAAACUCAUAAUUUAGUAUUUAUUUUUUUAUUAGUAAACAAUUUAUUCUCCAAGUUUUAUUUUAUUAAUAAAAAAUUUUUUAAAAAAAGUUAUUAUUAGUCAACUCUUAAUUAUUAAAACUAGGAGUUUAAUUGUUAUAAAAAAUAAAAUUUGAAGAUUAUAUUGUUAUAACCUAAUAAUGAAUUUUAAUAGGGUGAAUAUUUUAUUAAUAGAAUAAAAUUUUAAAAAUUAAAUUAUUUCUCAUUAAAAUAUUAGAAAUUAAGUUGUAGUUGAUUAAAAAAAUUAAUGAAUGAAUAUUUUUAUUUGUUAAUGAUUGGAACAUAUGAAAGGAAUUCAAAAUAAUAAAUUAUAACCAACAUAAGUGAAAUUAAUAAGUUAAAAUGAAUUUUAAUCAUUUAAAAAAUAUAAUAAAAAGUGCCAAAUAUAAUUGGAAACAAGUCAAAUUUAAAUUGUAAAAAAUGUGCAAAAUCUUUUACCCAAAUUUAUAAUUAAUUUUGGAUCACAUAUUUCAAUCUUGAAGAUUACAAGCACUUGUAUACGUAUUUCAAAAUUAUUUGUAGCAAAAUACAAAUUUUAGAUAUUAAACUAUUACUUGGAUUUAUUUGUCUAUCCAUAAUAAAAUACAUUGACUAUCACUCAAUUUUGUAAAAAUUUAAUUAUAUUAAUUUUUUCAAUAAUUUUUUAUUUAAAAUGAAAAAAAAUUAUUUUUUAAUUUAAAAAAUUAAUUUUUAAAAUAAUUAAAAUCAUGUAUAUUUUUCAAGAAUUUAUUUAUUUAUUUAGUAUUAUGCUACAAGCUCUAAAUGCUUAUUCAAUUAUAUCUAAAAGUUUUAAACACUUUUGUUAACUAAUUUUUGAAAUGAGUUAAAUCUUAUCUAAAUUUAAUAUGAUAUCAGACAGAAUACUAUAUUAUUUGUAAUUAAUAAUAAUUAUGAGAGAAAAUUGAAAAAAGAAGAGCAUACUCAUGUGCAUCGACGCUCUUGCGCUUAGGGGUGAGCAUUCGGUCGGUUCGGUUUUAAACCGAACCGAACCGAAUAAAUCAAAAAUCAAAAUUUUAGUGUUUAUAAAAAUCGAACUAAACUGAUUUUGGUUAGAAACUGAAUCGAAUUGAACCGGUAUGAUUCGGUUCGAUUCGGUUCGAUUUGAUCGGUUUCGAUUUUUAAUAAUUUUUUUUAUUUUUUACACUUUAUUUUUAAUAUUUUAAAAUAUUUUAAUGUUAAUAUGAUUUAAUUUAUCUAUAUUAUUAAAAAAAUAUAUUAUUAUCACUGAUCGGUUCGGUUCGAUUUUUUCGAUUUUUUCUGAUCAAAAUAGAACCGAACCGAAAUAACCGAAAUUUCUAAAAUUAAAAAUCGAAUUAAACUGAAAUAUAUAAAAAAUCGAAUUAAAUUUUCAAAUCGAUUCGAUUCGAUCAAUUUUUUCAGUUUAAACCGAAUACUGCGCACCCCUAGUUGCGGUCACAAGCAUAGCAAGCGAAAGGAGCAAGAGAGAGGAACAAUUUUGUUUGAACAUAUAAGUUACGAUGGAGUUACUUUGUAAAGUAAAAUAGACAUCACUUGAGCAUUAGAGGGAGAGGGUGCUGAAGCUAAUUACUCCAUCAAAUGAUCAAAUUUUUUUCUCUUUUAUUAUUUAGAUUUCAACAUUUAAAUCCCUUAUAUUUUUUUAUUAUAUAAAUUUUAAUAUUUAAAUAUUUAUAAUAUUAUUUAUUAUUUAAAUACUAAUUACUCCAUCCAUUUUAUGUUUUUUAUCUGUUCUUUUUAAAUUAUUUUAAAAUUAUUAUUUAUUUUUCUUUUUUAGGUUAUUUCAAAAUUAUUAUUUACUUUUUUUAACUAUAAUAAUAUAUAAAUGGACCAUUAUAAUUCUAUUUAAUUUUAUUUCUAAAAAGUUUCUUAAAAUAUCUCUUAAUAUUUAAUAAAAUUUAAUGUAUUUAAAAUGAAUAUAAUUAAAAAGUUAAUAAAAAAAUUAUAUUUUUUAAAACGUAUAAAAAACAAAAUAAACAAAAAUUAUAGGACGAAAAAAGUAUAAAAUUUUUAUUAAUUAUAUAAAGUGCAUUUAAUAUAAGAUCAACAAUAUAAUACUGAAUUCAAUAAUCGUUUAAAUAUUUAUGUUAAAUUUUAUAUGAAAUUAAUUGAAAUGUAUAUAAUAAAUAUUUAAAUUCAUAUAUAAAUAAUCUAUAUAAGUAAUGGAGUGAAAAUUUUUUUAUUUAAAUUAUAUAAUUUUAAUUAAACCUGUGUAAUUUUAUUAUUGAUACAAUAAAUAUUUUUAUACAAAAUUUAUUAAUAUAUUAUCAUUUGAUUAUUCAUAUAUUUAUUAUUUAUUUUUAUUUAAAUAUAUAAUUUAUAUUAAAUUAUUUUAUAUUAUACGAAAAAUAUUAUACAUAUAUAAUGUUAUAGAACAAUCGUAUAAAGUGAGACCGUGAGCUGUAACUACGAGAUAGGAUCACGUGGUAAGGACUAUAUAUAUAGGACAAGCGGACCAUCUCAAGAAAGGAAGAUCCGAACACCAUAAUAUCCGAUCAUUAUUCAAACUUGCAUGUUCCUAAUAGAGAGAAUCUUUGCGCUAAAAUUACCGUUAAUGAGCACAGUUUAGAGUACUUUUAUUAUGCAUGUAAUCACGAGAUCACCAAUCUAUUAGGCAGCAACAUCCCUUAUCGAGCAAAAAUUACUAGGAGAUGCCAUAUUUAUCUUCAUCUUCUUAUAGUAUAAAAAAAGAAGAAGAAUAAAGACAAAUAUACGUUAUUCUCUUAUAUUAAAGUUUUAAACAAUUCAUUUCAUUUUCUCUACUCGUUGAUACUGACUUAGCAUUGGUGUGGCUGCUAUGGGCACCUACUACCAUUCACGUUUUCUUCUUUGUAGGUUCUAGCCAAUCACAGUGCAGUUCCGCUCCGGCCAUGUCAUCAAUCUAAUCUUAACAACACCAUUUAGUUCCAUUGUUGAGAAUCUAUUUAAUUCCUCUUGUUUGUUUGGAAUAUUACGAUUGGUCUCUUAUUCUCUUCCUUAUAGAAAGAAAUCUGUCUCUUUUCUCUCUCAAGAUGCCCGAUAGUUUGCGAGCUGCUGCUAAUAUUACUACCAAUGAGGGAGUCAUCAUUUCUUCUGCUCUUGACAACAGAGAGAACACACCCCCCAGUGGUCAAUGAAGCAGACCUCAAUAAUUUAAUCAAUGAACAGAUACUCCAGUACAUCCAAAGGUUGCAGGCUACUUUUAGGCAGUAUAAUGCUCAGGAAGAUGCAUAAAAAAUGGAUCACGAAAGAAGGGAGGAAGCCUCUAUGGUCAAAAUGCAACUCAAGGAAAAAGCCAAGUCCAAAGAUGAAUCAGAUGAAGCUCCAAAAAGCGUUGAUUGGAAGCUAGUACGGGCCGUGCAAAGAUACCAAAAGGAACAAGAAGAGGAUUUUAGCCUAGACGGUAUUUUGCCUCUUUCGAAAGAAAUCUUAGCAGAAACCUUUCUCACCAAGUUCAAGUUGCCUAGCUUGGACAAAUAUGAUAGAAUGACAGAACUCAGGAGCUACCUAGCAAUCUUCAGGAUGACCAUGCAGCUUCAGGAUGUAAACGAUUUUGUGUUCUGUCGGGUCUUUCCAUCAACACUCACAAGUUUGACUCAGAAAUGGUACCAAAAUCUGAGCCCAGAUUCAAUUCAAAACUUUAUACAGUUUGUCGCAUUAUUUAGAUCCAGAUUUAUUACUUGCAUACCUCCCAAAAAACUUUCCUCUGACUUGCGGAAGAUCCAUCAAGAAGAAGGUGAGUCUUUAAGGAGUUUUAUCUCAAGUUUCAAUGCUAAAGCCAUAUAGGUGGAAGAGUUUAAUCAUGAGAUAGCAUGUGAAGAAUUGAAGAAAGGAAUCCGCAAUAUCAAAUUCAUGGAUUUCUUAAUUAAAAAUCCAGCCGCAAUGUAUCAACAGUUGAUAAACAAAGCCCAAAAAUAUAUCAGGCUAGAUGAAAAAAAUCAGGUAUUAAAAGAAGAUAAGAGGGCAAAUCAAAAAGUCCGAGAGACACAAAUAUGAAAGAGAUCAUAGGAGUUACCCCAUCUCGCAAAAGAUGGAUGAUCAAAGUAAGUAUAAGAAUUACACUCUAUUAAGUGACUCACAUACUCAUAUUUUGAUGUGGAUUAGAAAAUAUGACAAUGAAAUCAUGUGGCCGCCCAAGCUCAACCCUGAGAAAGUGGAGAAACAAGACAGGACAAAGUAAUGUUGAUUCCAUGAAGAUUAUGAUCAUACAACAGAAAAGUGCUGACAACUAAAGGAUGAGACUGAAAGGCUGAUAAGAAAAAAAAACCCUUCGAAAAUUCACAAGGAAGGGAAGGGAAGAAAAGAGAUCUGAGCUUGAGGAACCAACCCCCGAUCGAGAACUUGUAGGGGUCAUACAUGUAGUAAUGGAAUCACUUAGGGGUGGUUAGGAAAAGUAAAUAAAUUGCCGGAUUGGUAAGAAAACUUUUUAAGUCCCGAAGGUCAUUCGCCUAGAAAUUUUACAAGUUAGAUAGUUUAGGGAGCUGAGUGGUCCCCACUCUCGAUAUAUUUGUAAUAUAUUCCUUUUUAAUAAUAAAGUUAACGAGAUAUUUUCAUAUGUUGUGUUCUUCAGUGAUAAGGAACGAUGAGAUUGCCUUUCUCAAAAAAGGAAAAAAGAGAUAAGAAAAGGCUAUAAGGCAGAUUCUGCUAGACCAUCCGGGCUUUUGUCCCACCAUACAAGGCCACAAGACGGGUUCCCCCAGGCCAGGUCACAAGGCGAGUUCUGCCAGACCAUCCGGGUGCUGGUCCCACUAUAUAAGGCCACAAGGCAAGUUCUAUCAAGUACAAUCACAAGGUGGGUUCUACCAGGCUAGGUCACAUGGCGGGUUCCGCCAGACCAUUCGAGCGUUGGUCCCACCAUACAAGGCCAUAAGGCGGAUUCCACUAGGCUAGGUCACAAGACAGGUUUCGUCAGGCCAUCCAAGUGUUGGUUUUACUAUACAAGGCCACAAGGCGAGUUUCACUAGACCAUUCAGGCGUUGGUCCCGUAAAACCACAAGGUGAGUUCUGCCAGGUAGGGUCAUAAGGUGGGUUCUACCAGACUAUCCAAACACUGGUCCCGUUAAUCCAAAGCAAUUACAAAAGGCCAUAGGGCGAGUCUCGACCAGUUUAAUAAAUCUUAAGGCAUGUCCAAGGCCAUAGGGAAGGUAUAGAUCAGGCCUAAAAAAGUGGGUGGAGGCCCCACCAAUUGAUGGCUUUGAGCCAGGCUGUGAGGCGGGUUUCACCAAAUUCAAUUACUGCCUUACUAAGCUUUUGAGACAUUCAAGGCUCAAGCUAAGGGAUGAGUGUUCAUGGGCGAGUAUUGGCCUCAAGAUUAGGCCCAAGGCAAGUAUACGCCAGACCAUAUGUUUGGGUGUUAUCCCUAUUAUUCAAGGAUUUUCAAGUUAUUUUUUACUAUGACGAAUGGGUGUUAACCUUUGGCAAUUUUUUGAAAAGAAUAAAUUGUUUAAGUCUUAAAAGAAGGUUGUAACUGAGUACAGGGUAUAUGGACACUUAGCAAAAACACAAAUGACAAACUAUAUUUUCAUUAAACACAAAAAGGUUACAUGUGAAAGAUAUCCUCAGACUCCCUCGCCCGAGUCUCCAUUACCUCGGUAUUCUCUACAUCAAUUACAUUAUCAGUAGAGACCCAACCGACAAGAGUAUCUUUAGCAUACUCCCCUUCCUCUUCAAUUUCGCCCUCCUCCUCGGGGAGGAUGUCGUCUAUCUAGAAAAAAUCCUCAAAAUGAAAACAAUUCACUAGCUCCUUCUUCACCCCUUGAACAAACAUUUCCUCACCUUGGGCCACUGUCUCCUUACUCUGAUAGAGGCAGCGUAGACUCCCUCAGCUUGCACCUGCAACUCCAAGACUUGGUGUUGCAGCAGGGCCACCUAAUCCUCGGCAGAUUUAGCCUGGUUCUUAAGCCUAGUUUGGAAGUAAGGGCCUCAUCAAGAUCAGCCUGAAGCUUGUCUAUAAACUCCAAGAUCUCCUUCAUGGUACCCUCAACUUCAGUGACCCGAGUCUUCAACCUUGAAUAUUCCUCGGCCAAGAGCCUCAUGUUCGUGUCAUUUGCACCAGACUCCCACCUUAAGGCUUUGUAUCGCUCCUUGGCAAUGUAAGUGCAGAGGGCACUCUCUAGUGCAUAAUGUAUAGAGUUUUCAAAAGAUCGUUUGUCUUGAGCUCAUUCAAGUGGCGCCGAUCCGCAAGCCUCAGAGCACCUCUGAUUAACAAAAGUCCCAGAGUGGGAUCGUAAAGGAGUAAGGGCGCUCGGCUUAGCGCCAAAGCCAAAUGUUGGAUGCUUGGAGGCCAGGAAGAUUCGACCCCAUCACUCAUAGGAGCAGGAAUGGAGGAGGUGGGGGCAUCAGCAGUAAGCCUAGGGGCUGGGGUAGAAUUAGAAGUGCCUAGGGGAGAAGCCUCAGGCUGUAGAUGGACUAACUCUUUCGUGGAGGGAGGGAGCGGGGGAGGGGGAAGCAUAAUAACCUCUUUUGAGGGGCGAGCAUGCUUUGAGGGGGGACUAGCAACCCCGGCAAUAGCCUUGCCUUUACAAGCAGCACGUGUCGCCUUAGUAAAUUUGCUUAAACCAGCCAUAUCUGCAAAGAAAAGGAAAAGUAAAUAAGAAAGACAGUUCGAAAAAUAAAAUAGAUAGAAAGAGAAGUAUCCUGAUCCCGAGCAUAGGAAGUGCCUUCACCAAGGCUGGGAAAGUUGGACGAGUGAGGACCUCAAGCCUAAUUUGCCUGCAGAUGGCUCUGCCAAGACAAGAUGACAUUCCUUAUCGCCUAUGUGAUGUCUAUUUUCUUUAGGGCUUUAGCCAUCGUUAAAAGCAAGGCUAAAGCUUCGUCUUCCUCUCUUCUCGGACAGGCCUCAUCAUUCUUCAAUUCUAUCCAACAAUACCAGCUCAUUUGGAGACACCUAAAACCCCCCGACAUCCGAUGGCGAAUGAUAAAAAAUUUAUUCUUUCACUAUUUCAAAAAGGAAGGCAUCCGGUAAAAAAUGAUUAAGUAUUUUCGGCUAUUGAAGUAACAAAAUUUUUUAUUUUUUACGGAUACCCAGUUGGUAAAACUAGAAAAAAAAGUGUUACACUUAAUUCAAAGUGAUUAUUGAGGCAGAUGAACUGAAAAAGCCAUGAGGAUUCUCCAAUUGUUGGGAUGCAGCUAGAAAAUCAAAAGCUUGUGAAAUUGAAGGACUUCUAUAAAAAAGUGUCCAAGGAGAAUCAUAGACUUACAUUCAUCUAUUUCUUAAAACCAAUGAUAGUCGUUGACACGGACGCGGAAAGAAAGAGUCAAGACCUAAAAAGUCUCUCGAGAAAUGUUGUAAGUAUCUACAAACGAUCUAAAUCGUGCUCUAAGAGGACAAACUUUUUAUCACGAAUAGCUGGGUUUGUUUAUACUAAAAUGGAAUGAUGAAAUCGUAAAUGCAGCAAAAAAUUUAGACAUUUAUUGAGUUUCUCAAAAACAGAGAGGCUAAAUUGUUAAUAAAAACAACACCUAGGGACGAAAACGCACAUUUUACCUAAACCCCACAAAUUGAUCGCGCGCUCUCUCUGUCUCUCCUCGCAAAUAUAGCGGUUAAAUCUCAAAGAUUGUCACUGGCAGAGAGUCCGAUUGGACGGCAGGGAUCGGUGCCGGGGAAAAUUGAAGACCGGGAAUACGACAAUGGCGUCCUCGUCCACUAGCGGUUUAACGUUCAAGCUACACCCACUUGUUAUAGUUAAUAUAUCCGAUCACUAUACUCGGGUUAAGUCUCAGAUAAACCCUCCCGUUCCCUCCACCGCUAAUACUGUUUCCAGCAACACCAACGGCGCCGGCGAUGGUGUCAGCACUGCUGUUUCAGCUGCAACGCGGCCAACGAGAGUCUAUGGAUGCGUUAUAGGAGUGCAGAGGGGACGCACCGUUGAGAUUUUCAAUAGUUUUGAACUUCUCUAUGAUCCCAUCACCCACUCUCUACACCGAGCUUUCCUUGAGAAGAAGCAAGAGCUCUGUAAUUUUCCUAUAUAACUUCCUUUUUUGGGGGAUUGUUAAUUUGUUUAAUUGUGGUGUGGUAGUUCCUAGGAUUCCAUAAAUUAAUUGAAAAUCUUGUGAUUCUAUUACAGAUAAGAAGGUUUUCCCUCAUUUUUACGUCUUGGGAUGGUAUUCAACGGGUAGUGAUGCUGAGGAAUCCGAUAUGCAUAUUCACAAGGCUGUAUGUUUUUUCCCUUCUCCUUUUUCUGAAUCAUGCCUUUUGUUGUUAAAUUAUUUUCAAUGUUUUUCUAAACGUUUUUAAAUUGAAAAUUCAGUAUAGUGAGGGAGGUAAUUUAUAGAAAUGGUGAUGUGAGAUGUGAAUAUACCUGGUUUUGCUACCCUCUUGUAGAGAAGCUGCUUGCGUUGCUUCAUGCUGCAGUUGGAUGUAAUACUGAUUUACUUAUUUGAGCCAAUUUAGAAUAAACAAAAUCUAAAGUUUUUUUCCUUUUCAAAUUGGG
rnacentral:lncRNA from 1 species